rnacentral:rRNA from 1 species
UACGUAGGGUGCAAGCGUUGUCCGGAAUUAUUGGGCGUAAAGAGCUCGUAGGCGGUCUGUCGCGGCGGCUGUGAAAACCUGGGGCUCAACUCCGGGCCUGCAGCCGAUACGGGCAGACUAGAAUUCGGUAGGGGAGACUGGAAUUCCUGGUGUAGCAGUGAAAUGCGUAGAGAUGUGGAGGAACACCGAUGGCGAAGGCAGCCCCCUGGGCUGAGAUUGACGCUCAGGCACGAAAGCGUGGGGAGCAAACAGG